AGCCAUCAAAAAGGCUAUUACCUGUGGGGAAAAGGAAAAGCAAGAUCUCAUUAAGAGCCUUGCCAUGUUGAAGGACGGCUUCCGCACUGACAGGGGGUCUCACUCAGACCUGUGGUCCAGCAGCAGCUCUCUGGAGAGUUCGAGUUUCCCACUACCGAAACAGUACCUGGAUGUGAGCUCCCAGACAGACAUCUCGGGAAGCUUCAGCAUCAACAGCAACAAUCAGUUGGCAGAGAAGGUCAGAUUGCGCCUUCGAUAUGAAGAGGCUAAGAGAAGACUUCCCUGUAAAAGUGGCCAGGUAACUCCCAGCAAUUCGGAGCUUACACAGUACCAGCUCCCCCAGGCGUCCAGCAAAACAGCAAGACAUCUGUAUUUGGACAGCCACUUCUUGUCCUCUCUGAAGAGGACCACUCUGAACCUUGGAUCUGUUCCAUCCUGCAGGAAUGCCUGUCUUAGAUGGAUCGCCAACCUGAAGAUCCAGCUGGCCAAGCUUGACAGUGAGGCCUGGCCUGGGGUGCUGGACUCAGAGAGGGACCGUCUGAUCCUCAUCAACGAGAAGGAGGAGCUGCUGAAGGAGAUGCGCUUCAUCAGCCCCCGCAAGUGGACCCAGGGGGAGGUGGAGCAGCUGGAGAUGGCCCGGAAGCGGCUGGAAAAGGACCUGCAGGCAGCCCGGGACACCCAGAGCAAGGCGCUGACAGAGAGGUUAAAGUUAAACAGUAAGAGGAACCAGCUUGUGAGAGAAC
rnacentral:sRNA from 1 species